UACAGAGGGGGCAAGCGUUAUUCGGAAUUAUUGGGCGUAAAGGGCGCGUAGGCGGCCUGGCAAGUGGAAGGUGAAAUCCCUCGGCUUAACCGAGGAACUGCCCUCCAAACUGCUUGGCUUGAGUCCGGGAGAGGUGAGUGGAACUCCCAGUGUAGCGGUGAAAUGCGUAGAUAUUGGGAGGAACACCAGUGGCGAAGGCGGCUCACUGGAUCGGUACUGACGCUGAGGUGCGAAAGCGUGGGGAGCAAACAGG
rnacentral:rRNA from 1 species